UGGGGAAUAUUGGACAAUGGGCGAAAGCCUGAUCCAGCCAUGCCGCGUGUGUGAAGAAGGUCUUCGGAUUGUAAAGCACUUUAAGUUGGGAGGAAGGGCAGUAAGCGAAUACCUUGCUGUUUUGACGUUACCGACAGAAUAAGCACCGGCUAACUCUGUGCCAGCAGCCGCGGUAAUACAGAGGGUGCAAGCGUUAAUCGGAAUUACUGGGCGUAAAGCGCGCGUAGGUGGUUCGUUAAGUUGAAUGUGAAAGCCCCGGGCUCAACCGGGGAACUGCAUCCAAAACUGGCGAGCUGGAGUAGGGCAGAGGGGGGUGGAAUUACCUGUGUAGCGGUGAAAUGCGUAGAUAUAGGAAGGAACACCAGUGGCGAAGGCGACCACCUGGGCUCAUACUGACACUGAGGUGCGAAAGCGUGGAGAGCAAACAGG
rnacentral:rRNA from 1 species